rnacentral:lncRNA from 1 species
CCUUUAUAACGAAUUUAUAAUACUGCAAAUUUGCGUAUUUGGUCUCAAUAGCAACGAUUUUCCUUAGUUUGACAAAUAUUACUAUUUUUUUCAAUUCCCCAUUUGGUGCCUCAAUCCGCACCUUGUUUUUCGUGCGUUUCCGUAAAAGACGCGGAAACAUACGAAGAUAACGGUAGGUUUGCGUUUUUUUGGUUGCGGAAGAAAUUGGAUUUACAAAUGGAAUUAUAAAUGUUUUAAGGAAAUUUACAGCUAGUUUCGAGUUUCUCGAGUAAGAACUUGGAUUGUAGUAAAGGAGAACUGAAGUAAAACUUGCUUAUCCGUUUAAUCUUCUAUCUAAGCUGUUCAGCCUCGGGUCGCGUGUACUUUUAGCCUGAACACGGAAGUAGAGUGGAAUAUGUCAUGAUGUGCCAAAGAAGUACCAGUACUCACAGUAGCUCUUUGAAAUUGGAUGUUCAUAUAACGUGGAAAUCUAGGAAAAAUCAAAUGUUAGAUGUCAGGUCAUCUAAGUGCAAUCAGAUGAUGUUAUUCAACAUGCUGUGGCUGCAUUGAACUGGAAGUCAUUUCAGGAACAGAAUCCAGGGAUCAUAAGAGAAAUGUAUGUAUAGCCAAUGAUGAUGAUACCUGCUGGCCAAUCACUGCCAAAGAAUAACCUAUUCACAGAAAUAUGGCAUCUUUCACACAUAUGGAAUGGAACAUUUUUGCCAAGAUGCUACAUAAACUCUGACACCGAGAAUAUGGCACCUUUCACACAUAUGGAAUGGAAAAUUUUUGCCAAGACGCUACAUAAACUCUGACACCGAGAAUAUGGCACCUUUCACACAUAUGAACAUUUUUGCCAAGACACUACAUAAACUCUGACACCGAGAAUAUGGCACCUUUCACACUGUCAUAUGGAAUGGAACAUUUUUGCAAAGACGCAACAUAAACUCUGACACCGAACGUACAUUACGACUAGUAGGACAAUAAUGGUAACAUAAAUUACACCAUGUUAAAAACUCUUGUCUUCGGUAUUGCUGCAGCCGGUCAGAUUUUGGAUUUAAUAAAUGUAUUUCAUGAAGUCACUUACAGGACAGUACCUAUUGUCAAAUUAACUGUGUCAUAUGACAUAAGCCCUGCUAAGUCAUUACUAACACUAAGUCUUGUCAACAAAUAUAUUUAUUGCUUAGACUUUAUGAUUUGAUUUUUGUCCAAAAAUAUGCAUAAUUUCUGCAGCAGAUCCUAGACUAGCGCAAUAUUAUUCUGAGAAAGAACAAAAUUAAUUCAUAUUUCUGGAUGCAAAGCUAAUUUUCAUUACAUACACAGAGUUAGAUCUAAUCUUAGAAUUAUUCUGGUAGAUGAAAUAAAUAAGUUCUUUAACCAAAGUAAAAUUGAAAAUUUUGAUAUUAAAAGAUCGAAACAGUGAUGUUACAAAUGACGUCACGUACCCGAUACGAAAAUUGCAUGCCAGUACUGUAAAACCUGCUUAAGCGGUCACCUCUAAUUAGCAGCCAACCUGUCUUAAGCAGCCUGUGUCUCGAUCAUUUCCCAAAAUGGUCAUUUAUUCUAUAAAUUUCCUUGCUUUAAGCAGCCACCUGCUGUAAACAGCCACUUUUCCCAACACCCUUGGCUGGCUGUUUAAGACAGGUUUUACUGUAUGGAAAAAUGUUGAUGUAUGUAAUUCGCAUUCGCUCGUGCCACUUGGAAGAGUAAAUAUGAGUAUGUAA